UGGGGAAUUUUGCGCAAUGGGCGAAAGCCUGACGCAGCGACGCCGCGUGUGCGAUGAAGGCCUUUGGGUCGUAAAGCACUGUCGACCGGGACGAAAUCUUCCGCGCUAACACCGCGGAGGUUUGACGGUACUGGUAAAGGAAGCACCGGCUAACUCUGUGCCAGCAGCCGCGGUAAUACAGAGGGUGCAAACGUUGCUCGGAAUUAUUGGGCGUAAAGCGCAUGUAGGCGGCCCGUUAAGUCGGUUGUGAAAGCCCAUGGCUCAACCAUGGAAGUGCGACUGAAACUGGCGGGCUGGAGUCCUGGAGAGGGUGGCGGAAUUCCCAGUGUAGAGGUGAAAUUCGUAGAUAUUGGGAGGAACACCGGUGGCGAAGGCGGCCACCUGGACAGGUACUGACGCUGAGAUGCGAAAGCGUGGGGAGCAAACAGG
rnacentral:rRNA from 1 species